rnacentral:misc_RNA from 1 species
UCUCGUCACGCGGCUGCGCGCGCGGUGGCUGCUCGUCGCGGACAUCGAGCGCGGGGGCGUCUUCGCAUCGAUCCUCGGCACAAUCGGCCUGUUGACGCCGGAGGAGCGGGCGCUGCUGCGUGGGUUUGCGGUCAACAAGUUCAGAGGCGACCUCUCGCUGUUCGAAGACGGCGCGGCGAUGCUCGAGGCCCGCGCCCGGUCGCACUGCUUCGGCAUUUUUCCGUACGCGCCGGAUAU